rnacentral:rRNA from 1 species
GAUGAACGCUGGCGGCGUGCCUAAUGCAUGCAAGUCGAACGAAACUUCUUUAUCACCGAGUGCUUGCACUCACCGAUAAAGAGUUGAGUGGCGAACGGGUGAGUAACACGUGGGCAACCUGCCCAAAAGAGGGGGAUAACACUUGGAAACAGGUGCUAAUACCGCAUAACCAUAGUUACCGCAUGGUAACUAUGUAAAAGGUGGCUAUACUACCGCUUUUGGAUGGGCCCGCGGCGCAUUAGCUAGUUGGUAGGGUAAAGGCUUACCAAGGCAAUGAUGCGUAGCCGAAUUGAGAGGUUGAUCGGCCACAUUGGGACUGAGACACGGCCCAAACUCCUACGGGAGGCAGCAGUAGGGAAUCUUCCACAAUGGGCGAAAGCCUGAUGGAGCAACGCCGCGUGGGUGAAGAAGGUCUUCGGAUCGUAAAACCCUGUUGUUAGAGAAGAAAGUGCGUGAGAGUAACUGUUCACGUUUCGACGGUAUCUAACCAGAAAGCCACUGCUAACUACGUG